rnacentral:rRNA from 1 species
GACGAACGCUGGCGGCGUGCUUAACACAUGCAAGUCGAACGAUGAAGCCGGAGCUUGCUCCGGUGGAUUAGUGGCGAACGGGUGAGUGGCACGUGAGCAAUCUGCCCUUGACUCUGGGCUAACUGCGGGAAACUGUAGCUAAUACCGGAUACGACACCUUGGGGCAGCCCAGGGUGUGGAAAGAAUUUCGGUCAAGGAUGAGCUCGGGGCCUAUCAGCUAGUUGGGGAGGUAAUGGCUCACCAAGGCGACGACGGGUAGCCGGCCUGAGAGGGUGACCGGCCACACUGGAACUGAGACACGGUCCAGACUCCUACGGGAGGCAGCAGUGGGGAAUAUUGCACAAUGGGCGAAAGCCUGAUGCAGCAACGCCGCGUGAGGGAUGAAGGCCUUCGGGUUGUAAACCUCUUUUAGCAGGGAAGAAGCGAAAGUGACGGUACCUGCAGAAAAAGCACCGGCUAACUACGUGCCAGCCGCCGCCGUAA